AAUUAAUACUAAAAUUUAGCUGUUUUGAUCUGUGGUGAUACAUUUUAACUUGGAACAUGUGGACUAAUUUUCUACUUACCUUGGUCGUCGCUCUCAGCUGUAGGAUAGAGUUAGGAUGCUGUUUUUUUGACUACAACCAGGAACUGUCAUCCCCGCAGAAAUUUCUACAACUCUACACCUCGCUUCAGGACAGGGUCGGGGCUCAUUUCUCAGGUGAAGAAAAAUUGCUGAGAUUAGGAGUUUUUAAAAGAGCAUUGAGGUUCAUUGGGCGUCAAAACAAACAGACCCAAGAGUGGCAAGUUGAUGUCAACAAGUUCUCGCUCAUGACAGAUGACGAGAAAGCGCAGUACCUGGGAUACAACAGUUCUCUGCCCCGUCAAGAGAGGAAAAAUGACGUCACAGUUAUCUCUGAU